CCUUGUACACACCGCCCGUCAAGUCAUGGGAGUUGGGAGUACCCGAAGUCCGUUUAGCUAACUGCAAAGAGGCGGCGGCCGACGGUAAGCCCGAUGACUGGGACU
rnacentral:rRNA from 1 species